GGGGAUAUCGUCUAGAGGUUAGGACGAGGGAUUUUCAGUCCCUAAACCGGGGUUCGAUUCCCCGUAUCCCUA
rfam:Chthonomonas calidirosea T49 complete genome